GUGGCAAAGUUGUACUUUCCUUAUUUUUAACUCCUUCAAAAGUGAAAGUAAAGUGGAAUUCUGCAUAUUCCGCUUUAGGAUGGCAGUUUAAGAAUUAUUAGUAGCUGGGUGAGUGCGCACAGUCGCAGCCGCUGACGUACUUGAUAGUUUCAGGCCAGCAUGGGAAAGUAUGCACCAACUGUAAAUAGGAUUCACUGCUGGUCUGCUUCAGAGGAUUUCCUACUCUCGAAGACUAUUACCAUAAACACAUUUAAGUGGGCCCCUGCUCCAUCCUUGCUUCUCUACAGUUCAUUCUCCUAGAGGUUGACCAGAAUCAAAGAAAACUCCCAUGCAGGUGGGAUAGAGCCAGAGUUGAGUGAAGAGAGAGUCAUUUUUCCCCUCUGAAAAGCAAGAAAUUCGCCCAAUGGCCAGUUUAUGAACCCUGACCUUAAGAAGCCUGCAAAAAAUGUAUCACACACCCUGCCAGCUGCUAUUUUAUGUGAGUUUACCAGUUUGGGACAGACUUCAAUACCAAAAUAAAAACCAUCAGUCACCAAACCUCUGAGAAAUACCAAGGCGCUGGGAAGAUACAAGGAAGUUUUAUAAAAAUUUGGUAAAUUAUACCUUUGUAAGCAGAAUUGAAACAUUUACCUUUUUCUACCUGAU
ensembl:lncRNA